ACGCGGAGCCGAGCCUGCGCACAGUCGCCUGGCUUGCCGCGUGUGGCAGUCCCACGGCUCGCUCUUUUACGCCUGCGUGUCGCGCCUAGCCUCACGCUCUACGUCGCAGCCACACGUUUUUUGUUGGGGAACAUGUGCAUGUGUGGAGAUCAGAAGACAGCUUGAGAGUUGGUUCCUUCCUUUUGCUCUGUGGGUUCUCGGAAUCAAACCCAGGAGUUCUAGGGUUCUCUUGGCCCCAGCCCCACAGUUCCUGGUUGGUGCCCCUCCCACAGUGCCGUUAUUUAAAAUAGUGCUUACCCUUGGAGGUAAUGUUAACUGGAACAAGAUGCAGGACUGAGUGCUUCUCUAAGGAAAGAAGGAGGAAACAGCAGUGUUGACCUGCCCUGGAGUCCACCCUCACCUCAGCCCUGCUCCGCAUCCCUCGUGCUCCUGGGUCACCGCCAACCGCACCGAAACCCCAGGGCUCACUCACUCUUGUGCUUCUGGGCAUGUGCAACCUGCAGCCAUCAGAGGGCCCCAUGCAUCUCAGGGUGCUAUGGACAUGGCCCAAUGUAUCUGCAGAGGACAUCAUGUCACAGUAUCAGAAGAUCAGGUACCCCACAUGUAUAGAGCGCUUUUCCACCCCCACCUCACUGAAACUCUUUAACAACCUUCCGCCUCAUCAGACUCUUGGGAAAGCCUGGCCUUGCAUGGGUCCUGAGCCUGCCUCUACCACCCAAUUAAGCUUUGAGGCCUACUAAGGCCUAAAUGCUACUACCAGGGGCAAGGAGUCCCUGACUCCACUGUAAAAUCGUCUUCCUGUGUGGUGCCAUGUAUCUUGGGCUACCUUACCAUCAUUCUUGUCAUCUACCACUGUAAUUACACAUUUACAGACUGCC